rnacentral:rRNA from 1 species
AUUCCGCUGAAUUUAAGCAUAUAAGUAAGUGGUGGAAAUUAAACCAAAUGGGAUAUCUUUAGUAAUUGCGAAUGAACAAGGAUAUGCUUAGCUUGACAAAUGGAGCUAUUGGCUUUGAAUUGUAUUGUGGAAUGUAUUACCAACAGAGGUGCAGGUGCCAGCCUAUUAAAUAAAGCGUCAAUGAGGGUGAGAAUCCUGUUUGUCAUGUGCAGCCCUUUGUGCACGGUGUAUAUUUGCUGAGUCACACUCCUUGGCAUUGGAAUGCAAAGUGGGUGGUAAGUUUCAUGUAAAGGUAAACAUGCAAUUGAGACUGAUAGCACACAAGUACCAUGAGGGAAAUAUGAAAAGGACUUUGAACAUAGAGUUAACUGACUUUGUAUUUGCUGAACACAAAGUAAACAGACUUGAUUUGCUUGGUGGGAGUGUUGCACUUGCUUGACAAGAGCUUUGGGCUGUGGGUGUAAUGAUUCUUUCUUUGCAUGCCAGUUUCUAUUUGUACAUCUGAUUACCUUUGCACAUGAAUGAUAAGUCUCCUGUGGGGGGUGGAUUGCAUGUGCAUGUAAUGAUUUGUGUUUUGAUAAAUGUGUCUGGUGUAUGUGUGUGUUCCUGUGCUUGGGGAUGCUUCCUUCCUUGGACUUACAAGCCCUGACACACACAUGCUGGCAAAAUGCUUCUGCUUGACCCGUCUUGAAAAU